rnacentral:rRNA from 1 species
AUAGGGGAGCCGGAGGGAAACCGAGUCUUAACCGGGCGUUAAGUUGCAGGGUAUAGACCCGAAACCCGGUGAUCUAGCCAUGGGCAGGUUGAAGGUUGGGUAACACUAACUGGAGGACCGAACCGACUAAUGUUGAAAAAUUAGCGGAUGACCUGUGGCUGGGGGUGAAAGGCCAAUCAAACCGGGAGAUAGCUGGUUCUCCCCGAAAGCUAUUUAGGUAGCGCCUCGUGAACUCAUCUCCGGGGGUAGAGCACUGUUUCGGCUAGGGGGCCAUCCCGGCUUACCAACCCGAUGCAAACUGCGAAUACCGGAGAAUGUUAUCACGGGAGACACACGGCGGGUGCUAACGUCCGUCGUGAAGAGGGAAACAACCCAGACCGCCAGCUAAGGUCCCAAAGUCAUGGUUAAGUGGGAAACGAUGUGGGAAGGCCCAGACAGCCAGGAUGUUGGCUUAGAAGCAGCCAUCAUUUAAAGAAAGCGUAAUAGCUCACUGGUCGAGUCGGCCUGCGCGGAAGAUGUAACGGGGCUAAACCAUGCACCGAAGCUGCGGCAGCGACACUCAGGUGUUGUUGGGUAGGGGAGCGUUCUGUAAGCCUGCGAAGGUGGCCUGUGAGGGUUGCUGGAGGUAUCAGAAGUGCGAAUGCUGACAUAAGUAACGAUAAAGCGGGUGAAAAGCCCGCUCGCCGGAAGACCAAGGGUUCCUGUCCAACGUUAAUCGGGGCAGGGUGAGUCGACCCCUAAGGCGAGGCCGAAAGGCGUAGUCGAUGGGAAACGGGUUAAUAUUCCCGUACUUGGUGUUACUGCGAAGGGGGGACGGAGAAGGCUAUGUUGGCCGGGCGACGGUUGUCCCGGUUUAAGCGUGU